GUAUGUUUAAGGACUUCUAUACGAUCAUUAUUGAUGACUUUCUUUGCAAAUUUUUGUGAUUAAGGACCCUGAUAGGGUUUGUUUACAGAAAAAGACUCACCAAGGUAGCUGUAUGCUUAUUGCCCUAUAUAAACUCCAAUCUUGUGGUCCUGUCCUUUUUUUGUGAAUAACCCCGAUGAAGUUGUUAAGAUGAAACACGUAGGGUCUGUCAGCUAUGAGUCACCAAUCCAGAUUGUGAAGAUUCUCUCUUUUGAGCUCACACCUUGUGAAGGCGAGGGAGGAUCUAAUUUGCCAUCUACACGAUCUGGACUUCUCUCACUGAUAUACAAAUUUUAUUUCUGUACAACAUUUUCAUUGUGUAUGGUAAAUA